CUCCCAUAUACUGUGGUCGCCAGGUUACAGGCCUCACCCGGCCUUCCUGGUUAUGAGCUCCCACACACGGUGGUCGCCAGGUUACAGGCCUCGCCAGGCCUUCCUGGUUAUGAGCUCCCAAACACUGGGUAUCAGGUUAUAGGCCUUACCAGCCUUCCUGAUAAGAGCUCCCACAUAUUGUGGUAGCCAGGUUACAGGCCUCACCGGCCAUCCUGGUUAUGAGCUCCCAAACACUGGGUAUCAGGUUAUAGGCCUUACCAGCCUUCCUGAUAAGAGCUCCCACAUAUUGUGGUAGCCAGGUUACAGGCCUCACCGGCCUUCCUGGUUAUGAGCUCCCACACGCUGUGGUCGCCAGGUUACAGGCCUUGCCAGGCCUUCUUGGUUAUGAGCUCCCACAUACUGUGGUCAUCAGGUUACAGGCCUUACUAGGCCUUCCUGAAUAUGAGCUCCCACAUACCGUGGUCGUCAGGUUACAGGCCUCACCAGGCCUUCCUGGUUAUGAGCUCCCACAUACUGUGGUCGCCAGGUUACAGGCCUCACCGGCCUUCCUGGUUAUGAGCUCCCACAUUCAGUGGUCACCAGGCUUCAGGCCUC